rnacentral:rRNA from 1 species
UACGAAGGGGGCUAGCGUUGCUCGGAAUUACUGGGCGUAAAGGGCGCGUAGGCGGACAGUUUAGUCAGAGGUAAAAGCCCAGGGCUCAACCUUGGAACUGCCUUUGAUACUGGCUGUCUUGAGUUCGGGAGAGGUGAGUGGAAUGCCGAGUGUAGAGGUGAAAUUCGUAGAUAUUCGGCGGAACACCAGUGGCGAAGGCGACUCACUGGCCCGAUACUGACGCUGAGACUCGAAAGCGUGGGGAGCAAACAGG